rnacentral:rRNA from 1 species
UACGGAGGGUGCGAGCGUUGUCCGGAAUCACUGGGCGUAAAGGGCGCGUAGGCGGCGCGGAUAGUCGGCGGUGAAAGCCCGGAGCUCAACUCCGGGUCGGCCGUCGAUACUUCCGGGCUUGAGCACUGUAGAGGCAGAUGGAAUUCCGGGUGUAGCGGUGGAAUGCGUAGAGAUCCGGAAGAACACCGGUGGCGAAGGCGGUCUGCUGGGCAGUAACUGACGCUGAGGAGCGAAAGCGUGGGGAGCGAACAGG